rnacentral:rRNA from 1 species
AUUAAACGCUGGCGGCAUGCCUUACACAUGCAAGUCGAACGGUAGCGCGGGGCAACCUGGCGACGAGUGGCGAACGGGUGAGUAAAGCAUCGGAACGUGCCCUGGAAUGGGGGAUAACGUAGCGAAAGUUACGCUAAUACCGCAUAUUCUGUGAGCAGGAAAGCAGGGGAUCGCAAGACCUUGCGUUCUGGGAGCGGCCGAUGUCGGAUUAGCUAGUUGGUGGGGUAAAAGCCUACCAAGGCGACGAUCCGUAGCGGGUCUGAGAGGAUGAUCCGCCACACUGGGACUGAGACACGGCCCAGACUCCUACGGGAGGCAGCAGUGGGGGAAUUUUUGGGACAAUGGGCGGAAGCCUGAUCCAGCCAUGCCGCGUGAGUGAAGAAGGCCUUCGGGUUGUUAAGGCGUCUUUCGGUUGGGGGGUAAGGAAAAGUUUAGGCACGGGUUAAGUAACCCUCGUGUAGAUGACGGUACCCGGACUAAGAAGCACCGGCUAACUACGUGCCAGCAGCCGCGGUAAU